AGCCCUGCGCUUCCCCAGGUGAACCGGGCAGGAGCCUGUUGGGAAGGCAGCGACCCACAUCUGUGUGCACCUUUGUGGAUUUCAGGUUCCGGACGCAGGCGACCAAGCCAGAGCCAGCGCUGUCAUACGCAGAGCACCUGCCGAGCCAUGUGACGUGCUGCUCUCUGCCAGCCCUGAUCGCCUUCCUUUCCAGCAGGACUUGCGCUUCACACUGGACCUUGAGGCCCCAUGGAGAUCUGCCAUUUUGGGCAGGUUCUGCUCACAGUGCCAGUAACUUCACCUAGGAGAAGAGCGACAACUUCAAGGCCGCAUGACCCAUCUGAUUGUCAUCACACAGGUCCCCGCAGGAGAAUUUCCAUGGCGUUUCUCACUCUUUGUUUGCAAAGAAUUUCUUUUUUUAUCGUUUUCUUUUUCUUUUUCUAUUUUCUUUUUUCUUUUUUUUUUGAGACAGAGUCUCUCUCUGUUGCCCAGGCUGGAGUGCAGUGGCAUGACCUCGGCUCACUGCAACCUCGGCCUCCUGGGUUCAAGCAAUUCUCCUGCCUCAGCCUCCCGAGUAGCUGGGAUUACGGGCACACACCACAACGCUCAGCUAAUUUUUGUAUUUUUAGAAAAGACAGGGUUUUACCAUGUUGGCCAGGCUGGUCUCGAUCUUCUGAGCUCGUGAUCCACCUGCCUCGGCCUCCAAAGUGCUGGGAUUACAGGCGUGAGCCACCACACCCAGCCUAAGAAUUUCUUAGAAUUAAUAUCUGCACUUGGCCCCACAUCCUCUGAGUGAUAACUUAGAACUGUCACUUUAAUUGUUGAGAGAGGAUAUUCAGAGAAUAGUGGGUGAUUUUACAAGCAAGGAUAUGUUUGGGGAGCAUGUUCCCGGUGCAUUCUCAGGGUCUCGUGCAUUCUUUUAGACAUUGAAGACAUCCUGAUCUCCAGUGGAAGCAGAGCCCCAGUCAUACACUUAUCCACCGGGGACGAGUUCCAAGACCCCCAGGGAAUGCCUGAAAGCUCGGGUAGUGCUUACCUCUAUGGAUGUUGUGCACAAAUUUAUUUUUCCCUCUUUACAACUUCAUAGAUUGAAGGUUCGUUCUUACCAAAGAUCUUAGCAACCUUAGCUUAUCAUUCCUUUUAUUUCCUGAUUAAGUGGAGAACUUUCACCUUUUCACUAAAAAAAAAAAGUGCUUUACGGCUGCCUUUGCCACGUGCACAUGGUCUUUUGGGACCAUCCUUAAGUCAAAUAAGGGUGACCUGGAUGCAAGCACUGUGAUACAGAGAAAGUCCAGCUCACCACCAAGAUGGCUGCUGAGCCGCUGGUGGGCGCGGAGUGUCGUGUCUGCAGCGUGAACAUGCCGGGCAAAGGAAUAAUGCAUGUCAGGGAUAGGGUGGAGAAGGACUGUGCCAGGCUUCAUCACACUACUCAGAAUGGCACACAGUUUAGAACUUAUAAAUGAUUUAUUUCUGGAGUGAUCCACUGCAUAUUUUCAGACGGUGGUUGAUCGUGGGUAACUGAAAGCAAAACCUGACUGAAAGGGGCUGCUGUGUUCAUGUCAGCAACGCUGAUGCCCUCGAGGCCAGAAGAGUAACCACCAAUCUGGUACCUGAGCACCUGGCUGUAAGUCCACCCUCCAUUUCUGGCCAGGGCCGAGGAAUUCUCUCUUUUUCUCUUUAUUUUCCUCUUGAUUUGAGAAGGUCAACUCUGAGCAUGCUCUAAACACAAAUCAGCAUCUCUACACUUCUUCGGCACCAGGUGUUGCUACUGUCUUUCUGAUUAGAAAAAAAGAAAUAUCCAGGAAUUCUGGAAGACAGUGAUUGAUUUGCAGCUAUGCUGCAAUGGAGCUAAGAAUCAUUAGCACAACCCGUGCUGGUGUUCGACAAGAUGCCCAAUCAAUUCAUCCGAUGACAGGUGCGCUGUGUCUGCGAAGCGCGAAGCCACGGAGUGAGGUGCUGACCAGGCUCCACCAGGAGCAAGGAACAAGACUCCCCAGGGGCUCCUGGUCCACAGAAGGCAGGGACGCCCACAAACAUACCAUGAGUAAAUAGUUCCAAUGUGAAGAAGACUGAAAAUGCCACAGAAGUGUGAGCCCACUGUUUUGAAAUUCUUUCUGCUGAAGGGAUUGAGAAGAACUCUUCCAUAAAGGAGCAUGACCGAGCCAUGAGUUAUAAUAUAUACAUGCAUAUAGAAAGAGGAUGUGAAUACAGUUGCAGAAGGGCGUCAAAGCCAAAAACACACAGGGAAUGACUUGAGGAAGCUGAGGACCAAGAGCAGUGCUAGCCAUGCCAGUGACUGUGGUCGCUGAGAACUGGAUGAUGGAUGUUUGAGUGACCGUCAGGAGGAUCAGCAUGGGACCAGGAGGAUCAGCAUGGGACCAGGAGGAUCAGCAUGGGACCAGGAGGAUCAGCAUGGGACCAGGAAACAGCAGGCGAGUGAAUGUGAACUCCACUCUCAACAGGGAGAUGACGUGGGUCUCGGAAACCUACAGAUCUGAGUGCUUGCUGUCAGGUCAUGGCAGGGCUCUGACUGCACUGUGGAGGGAACAUCUGUGUUUUUGUCCUCCUGGAACCUAGUGCCCCUUUCCUGGAGGCAGCAUCCUAUUUGACCUGUGUGGGUCCAACCCCACCUCUCUCCUGUAGCAGUGGCAUGGGACCCGGGGCUGGGCCAUUCGCAGCAUUGCCACAGGCAGCAAUGGUGAUUGAUCUAGGAGUUGAUCAUUGAUCCUAACUGGGUGCUCAGGCCAAGGGGAUUGAUUCUUGGUAUUUUUUAAUCUCUUUUUUCCACUGGAAUUAUAGCUAAUAUGAUGAAGCCUAGAUAUACUGCGUAUCUGGCUUUUAGACAGGGCAAACCUGCCUAGAAAUGAAAAUGAAGUCACCACCUGUGAAAGCAGAAACAAGAGCUUGAGAGAGACUGAGUCCUGGUGAGAAUUUCUGAACCCCUUGAUCCAGCGAUGCCUGAAGCCAGAACUACUUGUAAACUUUUCAGUCAUGCAAUCCUGUCACUUCUGUUUGUUCUUAAGUGCAUUUUGUAUGGUUUCUGCCGCUGACCACGGAAACGUCCUUCACUAACAGGGAAGCAGAGUUACCCCAUUUGAGAGCCUCAGAAGGAAGAUGGCAUUCAUGCAAAGGAAGCAUGCGUUUGCUCUCACUUCCUGAGAGAAAGCCUGAAAAUGAAGCCAAUCUCAUUUUCUUUCAGAGAUGAGUCUCUUGAUCAGAGAAUGCCUCAGUUCCCUGUAUCUGAAUUUUAGCAAGCGAGAGAAUGCAUUUAGGACAAGCAACAGCGAUGGCUCCCGUGUGUUCUUGGCUGCUCUGUUUCUAAAUGAAGAUUCACCUGGAGGCAGCCUUUGCUGCAGGGACACCCAGAUCUCACCUUGUUCUUGUUCUUUUCAAUCAUUUUAGCAAAGGCUCAGCCUACUGAUCCGAUUUAGAGAUGAGCCAUGAAAGCAGAUAUUUAGAUAAUAUUUUCCCAACUGCCUGGAGCAUUAGGUUAGAACUAGUGAGAUAAAAAUAUAAUGAAAAUAAUAGAAAGCUUUGACCCUCAGAUUU
rnacentral:lncRNA from 1 species